ACCCCGAGGAGAAGAAAUCAACCGAGAUUCCGGUAGUAGCGGCGAGCGAACCUGGAUUAGCCCUUAAGCACUCGGUGAAGUAGGUGAACAAGCUGGAAAGCUUGGCGAUACAGGGUGAUAGCCCCGUAACCGACGCUUCAUCGAGCGUGAAAUCGAGUAGGGCGGGACACGUGAUAUCCUGUCUGAAUAUGGGGGACCAUCCUCCAAGGCUAAAUACUCCUGACUGACCGAUAGUGAACCAGUACCGUGAGGGAAAGGCGAAAAGAACCCCUGUGAGGGGAGUGAAAUAGAACCUGAAACCGUGUACGUACAAGCAGUAGGAGCACCUUCGUGGUGUGACUGCGUACCUUUUGUAUAAUGGGUCAGCGACUUAUAUUCAGUGGCAAGGUUAACCGUAUAGGGG
rnacentral:rRNA from 1 species